rnacentral:lncRNA from 1 species
UUCUUGGUCAACAAGCAAAUACAGAGAGCACAAGCUUUGUUUGUUGGAAGGCAACAAAAUGGUUAUUUCACUCAGCAGGCUUGACCUUGUUUGCAGCCCAGUACUCCUGCAUCCAUGGUGAGUUUACGGACCAUCGUUCCCGGUUUAGGUCGGAUCGCAAACUUGUUUGGAAUAGGGUUUUUCGGUUUAGGGCUCCAGGCAUUAGGUUUACCGGAUUGCACAAAGUAAGCUCCAUUCAGGAAGUAAUCUCCUUCUGAUUGCCAAUUCCAAAGUUUCCAAUCAACGUAAGAAGUGUACUCUCUCUUUGUGAUCUGUUUGGCUUGUUCGUUGGGAGGAGCA